GGAUGGCUAGCUGGAGGUCUGCGUUGUAGAGAGGUAACCCCAGGCCCACUCUUUUCUUCUCCCCGGAGUGCAGUCAAGUUGACCAAGAAGCGGGCACUGUCCAUCUCACCUCUGUCGGAUGCCAGCCUGGACCUGCAGACGGUUAUCCGCACCUCACCCAGCUCCCUCGUAGCUUUCAUCAACUCGCGAUGCACAUCUCCAGGAGGCUCCUACGGUCAUCUCUCCAUUGGCACCAUGAGGUGCAGUCAGCCCCGGGCCAAGAGGCCCCUAAAGCCCCUACCCAAGUCCAUUAAAAGUCUCAAGCCCUCAAACUA
rnacentral:lncRNA from 1 species